UUUAGUUCCUGGCUCCUAUUUAGAAGGAUUACCACACAAUGUUAUUGUAAUUAGAAUUGUUCUACCAAUGAGUCUGUUGAAGCUAUUCUUGUCCGUUGUUAUUUUGCUAAUGUAGCGGCUAGUGUUUGCGUAUUUGCUCUGCUAGUCACGGUAUCACGUUUUACGUGUCCAGGAGACCUUGUUGAGAAAGAUGUAAUUAAGGGAGGUUUAUCGCUGGAUGGGAGAUUUCAUGAACGUCUGACUGUGUCGAUGUCCCACUUGGUAAACUGAACUACCAACCCGUUCUCACUCCCAACUCAUAAAAUACUGGCGCUUGUUCAGUGGCUCUCAGCG